AGUCUGGUGCCAGCAGCCGCGGUAAUUCCAGCUCCAAGAGCGUAUAUUAAAGUUGUUGCAGUUAAAAAGCUCGUAGUUGAAGAUUGAUUGCUGCUUCGUUGCAGCGAUGGACUGGCUGCGGCCAGGAUUACUUUGAGUAAAAAAAAGUGUUCAAAGCAGGUUAUUGCCUGAAUUCUCUAGCAUGGAAUAAUAAAAUAAGACGAUGGUCUAUUUUGUUGGUUUCUAGACCAAUCGUAAUGAUUAAUAGGGACGGUCGGGGGCAUCAGUAUUCAGUAGUCAGAGGUGAAAUUCUUAGAUUUACUGAAGACUAACUACUGCGAAAGCAUUUGCCAAGGACGUUUUCAUUAAUCAAGAACGAAAGUUAGGGGAUCGAAGAUGAUCAGAUACCGUCGUAGUCUUAACCAUAAACUAUGCCGACUAGGGAUCGGGUGUUGAUCUUAUUAGACGCACUCGGCACCUUACGAGAAAUCAAAGUUUUUGGGUUCUGGGGGGAGUAUGGUCGCAAGGCUGAAACUUAAAGGAAUUGACGGAAGGGCACCACCAGGAGUGGAGCCUGCGGCUUAAUUUGACUCAACACGGGAAAUCUCACCAGGUCCAGACACAAUAAGGAUUGACAGAUUGAGAGCUCUUUCUUGAUUUUGUGGGUGGUGGUGCAUGGCCGUUCUUAGUUGGUGGAGUGAUUUGUCUGCUUAAUUGCGAUAACGAACGAGACCUUAACCUUUAAAUAGGUCCAUUAGCUUUUUGCUGAAAGGAACUUCUUAAAGGGACUAUUGAUUAAAAAUCAAUUGAAGUUUGAGGCANACGAGACCUUAACCUCUAAAUAGCGCUUCUAGCAUUUUUGCUGGGCGGAGCUUCUUAGAGGGACUAUUGACUUGAAGUCGAUGGAAGUUUGAGGCAAUAACAGGUCUGUGAUGCCCUUAGACGUUCUGGGCCGCACGCGCGCUACACUGACGGAGCCAGCGAGUUGACCUUGGCCGAGAGGUCUGGGAAAUCUUGAGAAACUCCGUCGUGCUGGGGAUAGAGCAUUGUAAUUUUUGCUCUUCAACGAGGAAUUCCUAGUAAGCGCAAGUCAUCAGCUUGCGUUGAUUACGUCCCUGCCCUUUGUACACACCGCCCGUCGCUACUACCGAUUGAAUGGCUUAGUGAGGAUUCUGGAGCGACAGGGGCGACUCUGAUGCGAAACUAUUCAAACUUGGUCAUUUAGAGGAAGUAAAAGUCGUAACAAGGUUUCCGUAGGUGAACCUGCGGAAG
rnacentral:rRNA from 1 species